GCGGGUGUAGCUCAACGGUCAGAGCACCGGCCUCCAAAUCCGGCGGUUGCGGGUUCGAAUCCUGCCGCCCGUGC
rnacentral:tRNA from 2 species